ensembl:snRNA Gm23209 predicted gene, 23209
GUGGUUUCACUUCAGCAGCACACACAUUAAAACUCGGAACAAUCUACAGAAGAGUACUAUUGCCCCUGUGCAAAGAUGACAUAUAAAGUCACGAAGCAUUAAAAAAACGU